rnacentral:pre_miRNA from 1 species
UGGACAGAUUAUUGUAUUCGACUGUAUUCACGGCGUAAAGCAGGGGAUUACAUUGUUUUUAAACGGAAAGUGAAUCAAUUAACAUAAUAGACUCCU